CUUGAAAAUAUUAGUGAACUGAAUGAAAAAAUUAGUGGACUUCAAAGAGAACUUGAAUGGAGAAAAGCCCUAGUUUGUCCAACGAAUGUGACCCUGGAUCCAAACACAGCAAAUGCCCAGCUCAUCGUGUCUGAGGAUGGGAAAAGCGUGAGGCGUG